GCAAUGCCUCUUUCAUUUACUUUCUUUUGCUGUUGUUGUUUUAGGAUAUCCACUUCCCUUAUUGAUGGAUGAUUUGUUCUUAAAGAAUGUGAAAGCUGCACACAGGAGAUACAACGUUUGGAAACGCUAUGCGAUUAUUAAAAAAAUGUAAGCUGAAUAAGGCAAUGCAUUUUACUGGAUCUAUUUUUUUUUGCAUGCCAAAUGUGGAAACAGUCUGUUAAUAAAUGAUGUAUUUAUCUGUAUGUGUAGGAGCUGGUAGGUCAUUUAGACUGGAAGUGCAGUUGUUUAUUGGAAUAUUUGUAUCUGAUUAAGUAUUAAAGCAUUUCCAUUACUAGGUCACAGGGCAACUAGAGUAAAUAUGUAAACAAAUAAAACUCCAGAUUUCUCAUCUGAUAUUUUAAAGUAGUUGUGUUGCUCAAAAUGAUUUUACAAGUACAAGUUUUCCGCUCAUUUAAAGUUCAGUCUGUCCCUCAGUGCUAGUAAAUGCUGAUUUGCAGUGAGUCAGUGGCUGCCCUGUUGCUGAGAAUUUAGAACACAGUUAUCAAAUAUUGUCUUUGCAGUUCCAUGACGGGCCAGUGAGGGCAUUUGCAGCAAGAUGAAAAUAGGGAAAGAAGAAAUAAGUAAUAAGUAAUAGCACAUAAAAGAAUCAGUCAGGUUAUGGAAAAGCUAUUGAGAGGUCUUCUAUGCCAGGCCUUUAAAUAAUACUUAAAGGGAGUCUAUAGUGUUAGGAAUACAAAGAUGUAUACCUAACACUAUCGUGCUCUUUGCUCCCCCCACUCCCUCACCUCCACCCCCAGUCGUCCCCCCCCCUCCACCCCCCAGACCAUAAAGGGAAAGAAAAUACUUAAUUUACUCACCUGACGCUUGUGCCAAUCUCCCUGGGCACUGGGUCGGUGCACCGCCUCCUCUGAUGUCAGCUGACAGGGUGACCUAAUGCGCAUACAUGGCAACCACCACAAGCCCUUCCCAGAGAAAAGCAUUGAAUCAAUGUUUUCCUAUGAGGAUGUCCAGCAACAGUUAGGUGUCCCAGAGUCCGAUAAGAUCCCGGAAGUGCCUCUAGUGGCUGACUGGUAGAAUAAAAGCUACACACUGCACCCAGAACACUUCAAUGAGCUGAAGUGCUCUGGUAUAGUGUCUCUUUGAAGUAUGUAAUGGCCAGGAGUAUAUAAUUGCAUCUACAAAGAGUAUAAUGUUUACAUAUUCAAGUACAGUUGCCUGACCAAAACCAGGCAUCUGUACCUUAUAGGGCAUUGCAAGUUGAUAUUAAAGCUUGCAUAUAUGCCUCCAUCCUCCAUCCUUUUCGGUUUGUAGAGUGUAUCAUAAAUGCCAUAAUUGGUGUGUGUGUGUGUGUAUAUAUAUAUAUAUAUAUAUAUAUAUAUAUACAAAUACAUAGUAUCCUUGCACUCUAACUAAAUGGUUACAUACCGGGUGCUUGAAAUCCUGGGGAAAAUCAAAUAUCCACUUUGCAACAGGUGACCAGCACUCACGGAUUCACAAAAAGGGUUAAAACAUCCAAAGUUUAAUGAAAAAUAUUUGUAAAAAUUUGUUGACAGCUCAACGUUUCAGUCCUCCUCUGGGACUUUCAUCAGGAACAAUAAAAGUGUCUCACAAUACCCAUCUUUAAAUAGGCACAUCAAUUAACAUAAUUACACAUUCAAUCCCAAACUGAAUUAGCAUAAUUGAAAGCCAAAUUCAAGGAAUUAGCAUACAGACAGAUAUAUAUAAAUAACGAGAUCCAACUCACCAGUGUAUAUUUGCAGUGACAGCCGGCGUUCUGAGAACGCUUUCGCGCAUGUGCGCCCAUAGCCCCUCCCCUGUCUGCAUGACCGCACGACCCCCGCUGUCAUGGUGACCGCGAAACAAACCCCGCGACACCAUGGCAGCAGCGGCACCAACGAUCGCCACAUAAAAGUGCAUAAAGCACUGAAGAAAAAGAAAAAGAAAGGGAAAAAGAAAAAGAAGGGGAAAAUAGGGACCUAAAUAUAAAAUAAACAUGGUGCAUAACAAAAACGCCUGUAAACACACCAGGGCUCCACCCACUGUGUGUAGCCGUUCCCAUGGUAACCGGACCAAAAUGCCGGUACAUAAAGUGAACAGGACGAAAAAGGGCAUACAGGCUAAAUAAUAAAAAUAUGACAAUGAAGCCUAAUCAUAUGAAUAUAUAUAAUGUGCAAAAUAUGAUUAAUAUAAAAAGUGCAUGCAGUGCAAAGCAAUGAAUUGCUAAGUUUAUAUAUAUAUAUAUAUAGACUGAAAAAAUAUGACUACUCUAUAUAUCAUAUUGAAAAAAGUGCAAUGUGCAUAUAAUCAGUGAAAAUAACCUAUAUUAUAUAGGUACAUAAACUAAUAAGGAAAAUAACCUCUAAUGAUCACAUAUUGGACCAAAGUGCAAAAUGCAUAUAAAUGAAAAUGAACAAAAAAUAGAUCAGUGAUGAUAAAGUGCAAGUGUAGUUGAAAAAAGUCAAAUAGACUAAUAAAUAAUAUAAAUGGUCUCUACAUCCCCAUCCAGAUGUAAUAGAGGGGAUUAGGCUUACCCUAAUAGAUGUAUCCACAUAUGCCAAUAAUAUAUUACAUAAAAAAUAGUGGCUAUAAACAGACAGACAUUGAAGGGGCUGGCAGCUCUACAGUGCAAAAAUAUGUAUCUUAAAAUAGGCUAUUAAAUACAUAGAGAUAAAACUAUACAGAGUUAUCCAUAAUUAAAAAUCCAUAGAAAACAGGAUAUUAAAUAAAAGAGUGAUAUGAAAUCAUUUCAUUCAAGCCAUGGGGGGCUAUAGUGUCUAAUGUAUGGAUCCAAAAUGUCUCUCGAUUCAAGAGCAGCUUAGCCCUAUCUCCACCACGUUUAGGUGGAGGGAUGUGGUCAAUGGCUAAGAAUUUGAGAGCCGACAACGGAUGUUGGUGGAGAAGAAAAUGUUUGGCUACAGGUUGGUCAGAAGUGCCAUCACGAUAAGCUACCCUGAUACUUGACCUGUGUCCCCUAAUUCUUUCACACAGAAGAGUUUCCGUUUUGCCUAUAUAGCAAAGGCCACACGGACAUGAUAAUUUAUAGAUCACAUAUGGGGUCUUACAAGUGAUCGUAUGUCGUAUAUGGAAUAACUUAUUACUGUGUGGAUGAUGGAAGACUCGCGAAGGAGUCAUAUGACCACAGGUCACGCAUCCAAGGCAGCGAAUGCUGCCCCGGGGUAGUAUACUGAUGUUCUUCUCAUAGCUUUUAGUAGGAUCCGUCUGUACCAACAGGUCUCUAAGGUUUUUAUUCCUACGAUAACAGAUAAGUGGAGGCUCUUUGAAGACCUUGGGGAGUGUGUCAUCACAUGACAACAUUUUCCAAUUGUCUUUGAUGAUCCUUGUGACUUCCAAAGAAGCAUCAUGGUAGGUAACUGGAAAGACAAAUCUAGGGGCAUCAUCUCUGACUCUAGGAGAGUUGGCCAUCUUGGCUUCUUCUAAUGCUCUCACUAGGUCAUUGCGUCGGUAGCCACGUUCCAGAAAUCUCUCCAUCAUCAUUUUAAGUUGUUCCUCCAUGAUAUUCACAUCCGAAUUAUUGCGAAUUACUCGCAGAAAUUGAGCUUUGGGUAAAGACUUCUUCAACGCCAUUGGGUGUGCACUAGUGCUAUGUAAUAUCGUAUUCCUAUCAGUGGGUUUCCUGUAGAGGCAAUAUGAAAAGGCACUGAUUCUUAAUGGAUAUCUCUAAAUCCAAAAAUUGAACUGAUGUCGUACUAAUGUUGGACGUAAAUUUAAUAGGGCUCUCAAUCUGAUUCAAUGUUUGUACCAUAUUCGUAGCUUCUAUAGUACUGCCACUCCAAAGUAAAAGCAGGUCAUCGAUAUAGCGAAAAUAUCCUUGGAUAAAUUGACCAUACUUCGAUAGAAUAUAGCGUUGUUCGUAUAUGUACAUAUAUGCAUUGGCAUACAUGGGGGCCAUAGCAGCCCCCAUGGACGUACCAGAGAUCUGGAGGUACCAUUUAUCUUCAAAACGAAAAUAGUUGUUAUUUAAAACCAAAGCGAGUAAUUCAAGAACAAACUCAAUAGGCGGGCCUUGAUAGGAUGUAGAGGAACUAAGAAUUGAUCUCAUAGCCUCAAUACCCUGUUGAUGAGGAAUAACAGUAUAUAGGCUACCCACGUCCAUAGUGAUGAGUGUAGUAAUCUCAUUUUCUAAAUUAAGAUGUCUCAGUGCAGUAAUCAAGCUAGGGGUAUCCUUAAUACACGUCUUAAGUUCCAUAAUUGGAGAUUGAAAAAGCGAAUCGAGCCAUUUGGCUAUUGGUUCAAGUAGCCCAUCAAUAGCUGAAACAAUGGGUCUACCAGGGGGAUUAGAGAGAUCUUUAUGAAUCUUAGGGAUUGUGUACAAAACCGGCGUACGGGGAUGUUGUUUAAGAAGAUAUUCACUCAAAGGAAUAUUGAUCCAACCAGAUUCUACUCCUCUCUGUAAAGCAGAUUCCACUUUCUUUUUAUAUAUAUUAAAGAAUCCAGCGCACUCGCUUAUUCACUAAACAAUGAUUUCAAAUCUUAGUGAUUGUAAUAGUUUUAUUUAAAAACACCUCACCUAGGCAAAAAAUAAUGUCCUGCCAAGAAUGGGGUACAUUGAUGUUGUGGCAGGCUUAUGCAAUAUAUGAUGAAAUAAUGUAACUAAACCCCCAUUAUUUUUUGCCUAGGUGAGGUGUUUUUAAAUAAAACUAUUAAAAUCUCUAAGAUUUGAAAUCAUUGUUUAGUGAAUAAGCGAGUGCGCCGGACUGUAUAUUUUGUAUAUUCUGGCCCCAGCAGCACCCUAUAAUGUAUGCAUGUUCAGGUGAGUGCAUCCCUCUUGGUUUUAUUAUAUAUAUAUAUAUAUAUAUAUAUAUAUAUAUAUAUAUAUAUAUAUAAAUAAAACCAAGAGGGAGGAAGACCUGAAGAGGUCGAAAUGUCGAUCAGAUGUAUGUUACCUGUUAUUAAAUAAUAUCGAGUUUUUUUACAAAGACCUGAGAGUGCAUCUCUUUCCUUUUUGCUUUAUAUAUAUAUAUAUAUAUAUAUAUAUAUAUAUAUUUAUAUUUGUAGUCGGGAACAAUAAGCUGUAAUAAGUACAAGUACUUUGUGAUGUGCAGUAACCGACUUAUCAGUUAGGCCUGUAAUAAGAGAGGGCACAACCAUUAAAUUGUAAUAAAGGGGAGAGAUGUGAGGGAUGUACCCAGCAGUUACGGUCCUGUAAUGGAGGGGGCCUAAGUUUAAAUAGCCGGGUAACCCCUCCCACAAUUACAGGCUCCACCUUUCUAUUUGUAGUCGGGGACGAUAAGCAGUAAUAAUGAAAAGAUAGUGGUAUACACAAGUCGCUUGUGAUGUGCUGAAACCGACGUAUCAGGUAGGCCUGUAAUAAAAAAAAGGCAAAAAGUUGAAAUAUAUAUACUUUUUUUCAUACACAUUACAAUGCUAUUUUUUUUAAUGCUACUCUUAAUUCCUGCUCUGGCUGAGGAAUAUAUCUGGCAUAGGUCACAGAUUUACAGCAACCUAAUCUUUUUUUUUUAUUAUUUAAAUGUUUAUUGACAAUAUUUUCGAAGGGGAGGGGUACAGAAGUAAAAAGAGGAGGGGGGAGGUUAACAGAGGUGGUGCGUGGUACGCGGUACAGCUUGAUAAUGCUUAAUUAGUACACAGCAUAUAAUUCACAAGAUAUGAUACAUAAUAUAAUAUGGUGCGGUACCUGGGAUACAGUAUACACAAGUCUCAUACGCCGUUGCUUGAUAAAUGUAGUGCUUAGUAUAGUGCUAUGUGCGGCGUAUAUGCCCUGUUUUCUCCUAUGUCAAAUUGCGAUGCACGACUGUCAUGCCACCUGUGCAAGUAUCUAGCGUCGUGUGGCGUUUAGGUAUGAUUGCGUCUUGUGCAAAUGCUGUGCUCGGUUUGCAUAGUUUCCGGCUCUCAGUCAAAAUCCCAGGGGUGUUGGGUCUUUGGGGGUACUGCUGUGAACGGGUUGGAGGGGGGGGUUUGGCAGGUGUUUGUCCCAGUAUGCUAUCCAUGGUGCCCAUGAGAUUAGGAGGUUUGUCCUGCAUGCUGCUGUUUGGGUAGAUAAGCAUUCGUGGAUAUAGUAUUGAUGAAUUUUUGCCAAUAGGUUGGGCUUGGAGGGACACUGUGGCGAUUUCCAAUGGUUUGCUAUGAGGUUUCUCACCGCUAAUGCUAUGAUAGCCAUGACACAUUUUAUAUGUUUCGGUGUGGGCGUAGGAUACAGUAAAAAAAGGCCUGUGUCAAGGGGCGGUGUGGUAAUGCCAAUGGUUUGUAUUAUGUUUUGUGGCGUCUUCCCAUAGUGGGCGUAUGCGUGGGCAUGACCACCAAACGUGAGUCAUAGUACCACUGUCUAUCCCGCAUCUCCAGCAGUGAGGGGGAACCGUUUUAUACAUUUUAUGAAGCCUCUGGGGUGUGAGGUACCACCUGUAAACCAACUUCUUGUGUGCUUCAAUGUGGGAGUAGCAUCGUGUGAGCCCCUUAAGUGCGUUCAGAGAGGUUAGGAUUUCUGUAUCAGAUGUCAGUAGGUCGCAUUCUGAUAGCCACUGUUUCACAAAUGUUGGGGGUUGAGGAGGUGAUAAUCGUAAAAGAGUCCUAUAGCAUGAGGUGAGGGAUUUGGAUUUAGUCGGGGUCUGCCAGCAUCUAUCGUAUAGGGCUUCCAUGUCUGGGAAGUCAGAGCUGUCGGCUACUGUGUUGCGUGUGACGUGGGAAGGGAUUAUGCUUUUGAGUUGCAUGUAGAGAAACACUGAGGAGUUGGGCAGGUGGAAUUCUUUUUGUAGAUCUGGGAAGGAUUUGAUGCGAUUUAGGUGGAGGACUUGGUCGAGCUUGGUUACCCCGUGUUUGACCCACGAGUUCAGUGAGAGCCAGGGUGAGAUUGCUUUUAGGGUUGUCAGUGGUGAGCGUGGGUGGAAUUUGUAGGUGACAUUUUGCUUUUGACGGGUGGUGUCCCAGUGAUGUAGGGCUAGGAUAGUGGUGGGUAGGAGCGUAUUGUCUUUGGGUCUCAAUGUCUUUGGUGUCCAAAGCAUAUUUGUUAGCGAGGUGCUGGUGAGUCGGGCUGUUUCCAUGUCAACCCACUGGUAUACCCCUCUCGGAGUGUGUAGUUUCACUGCCGCCUCUAAGUUGGCUGCUUUGUAGUAGGUGUAUAUAUCUGGGAGGCCAAUUCCUCUGUCUGUUCGAUGAUUUUGGAGAAAGCGUUGGGAAAUUCUGGGUUUGCGGGUGUCCCAGACGUAGGAGGAUAGUACUUUUUGGAGUGAUUUGAAAAAGUUUUGUGGGACCCGUAUAUGUAGGAGACGGAAAAUGUACAGUAGUUUAGGGAGGAGGACCAUUUUGACCGUAUUGAUUCUGCCUAGCCAUGAAAGUUUAACUGGUUUCCAUUUUUGGCAUUCUGAUUUGCAUAGGCUUAGGAGUGGUUUGUAAUUGUAUUGGAAUAAUAGGUCCGUUGUAGGCGCAAUUUUGACCCCGAGAUAAGUGAUGUAGUUUGAUCUCCAGUCAAAAUCGUAUUUGCCCAUGAGUGUUUGAACAAAAUCUGUGGGGAGACCUAAUGGUAAUGCUUGUGUUUUCGUUUGGUUUAGUUUAUAGUAUGUUAGUUUGCCAUAUCCCCCUAAGAUUUGCAUGAGGGCGGGUAGUGAUGAGGGCACAUCUUUCAGUGUUAAGAGGAUGUCAUCUGCGAACAUGGAUAGUUUGUGAUCAGUCCCCCCUAUCCUAAUGCCUUUGAUUUCGGGCUGACGUCUAAUUAUGUGUGCAAGCGGUUCUAGAGAGAGAGGACGAACAGAAGUGGGGAUAAGGGGCAACCCUGUCUUGUGCCGUUGGUUAUGUUGAACGGGGUGGAGAGGAAUCCCGCCUGUGAGACUUGUGCUGUCGGGGUAUUGUAUAGGGCCAUGAUACCAGAAAUUAUUGGUGUCGUGAAGCCGAAUGUACUUAAAACUUGUUGCAUAUAGUCCCAGUUGAGCCUGUCGAAGGCCUUCUCUGCAUCUAGUGCUAGGAGAAGGCCUUGUCCUCUGGAAUCGUGUAUAUGUGAUAGAAUGUUCAGGAUUUUCCUAGUGUUGUCGGAGCCUUGUCUUGUCUUGACAAAGCCCGAUUGGUCGUUGUGUAUUAAUGUGGGGAGAAUAGCAGACAACCUGUUAGCUAGGAGUUUCGCGUAGAGUUUGACAUCUACGUUCAGUAGGGAGAUUGGUCUGAAGUUUUGGCACUGGGUUUGGGGUUUGCCUGGUUUUGGGAGAGUGGAGAUGUGGGCUUUUAGCAUUUCUGGGGGUAGGGCUCCCUGCGAAUAGCAGUGGUUAAAGAGUGUGGAUAGGUGUGGAGAUAGAAUGGUAGCGAAGGUCUGGUAAUAGAAAUUGGUAUAGCCAUCAGGGCCUGGUGCUUUGUGUUUGGGGAGUCGCUUGAUUGUUGUUUCUAGUUCUUGGGUGGUGAAUGGUGCGGUGAGGGAGCUUAUAGCUUCCUGGGAGAGUUUGGGUAGAUCAGUUUGCGCUAGAAAGUUUUGAAUGUCUAGUGUGGAUGGCGGGGUGAUCGCGGGGUCCUCCUUGAGGUUGUAGAGUGUGCUGUAGUAAGCAGCGAAUGCGUCGGCUAUGUUUUGUGGGUUUGUGAGUUUCUGUUUCGUAGAUGUGGUGAUAUACGCUAUUCUUGAGUGGGCCAUGCGCGCUUUGAGUCUGACUGCUAGUAGAGCCCCUGCUCUGUUCCCUUGUGAAAAAAAAUUGUGUUUAUAUCGUUGAAGCAUGUAGGUAGUUUUGGCUUGUUCUAUGUCUCUAAGUUUGGUUUGAAGAAUGGAUAGCUCGUGUUGUAGUGUUUGUGUAGGGAGGGUCUGCCUUAUUUUUAUGAGUGAGAUCAGUGAUUUUGGUGAUUAGGGUGGUGUAUUCUUUAAAUCUUUGCUUUUUAGCGUGGCUUCCUGCCUUAAUCAGCAGGCCUCGUAUUACCGCCUUAUGUGCGAGCCAGACGGUAGUCGGGUUGAUGUCAGGGGUUGUGUUUGUUUUGAAGUAUUCGGUAAGGUCGUUUUUUAAUUGGUUUACAAUGACGGGGUCUUGUAGUAGGGAGUCGUUCAGUCGCCAUGUACCCUUACCUACGGUGGGGCCCUUUUCCGUGAUGGUUAGAGUAAGCAACCUAAUCUUUUGAUGAUAUGAGCAGGGAGAUUGUCACCGGGUAAGAAGACAUAAACAGGCUUGUGCUGGGAAAUGCGCUUAGGAUGUGAUGUUGGAUGCCAGUCGUUAGAGCUUGAUGGUAUUAAGAGAGAGUUUUAAAUUGAGGUAGCAAAAAGAGAUAAACGCCACUAUUGAUUAUAGUGAAUGAGUGUUGCUAAUGUGGUAAUUGGAGGUAAACUUAUAAUAAAUGGUAAAUGCUCUAUCGUAAACACGUGACGUAUUGGCUGAAAGGGCCGAGCUAGCCAUAAGUCAAUAUGUGAUUUAGUCCAGGAUUAAGUCUCGGAAUGAGGGGUUGUUGACAGGGGUGUUGUUGGGUGUGCUUUGAAUUUUUUUUGAAAAUUAGCAUGAGAUGAUGCAUCAGCAGCUUUAUUAAUGCGUGCGGGGAUGUGUAUGCAAGUGAUAUGAAACUGUAGUGCAGCUGCCAACCAUGUAGGCUGUCUAAUGAAUCUCAUGAUAGUGAGGGAUGAGGAUCAGCCUUUGUUAAUGAUGUCACAGGCUGUUUUAUUGUCGGAAAAGCAUUUAACUGCUUUCCCCUUCCACUGAUACCCCCAGGCCUUCGAGGCGGCCAUAAUAGGGUAGACUUCAAGCAAAGCUUAAGUUGUGUGGAACGAGGGUAGACCGAGGGUCUCGACUGGCGAUGAGUCUCUGAACCAGGAGUCACCAAAGAUCGCUGCAAACCCUGUGUGGGCUGCGGCAUUGGUCCAGACUAUGGGGGAAUGAUCCGAGAUGGGGGGAUGAACAUUGCUCUCCCAUUCCAAUGGGACAAGAACCUGAGCCACAUGAGUAAAUCUGUGUUGGCGUGCAUAUCCAAAGACGUGGUACUAUUGUCUGUAUGAGGAUGGGGAAGAAGGCACAGCAAUCGGGAAAUAAAUGCCCAGCCCUGUGGAAUUAGUCUCACAGCAAAGUUCAACGUGCCUAGUAAAGAUUGUAGUUCUACCCUAGUACACCUGUUCUUGGCAAGAAAACAUUCCACAGUUUCCCUGAUGUGCUGUACCUUCUCUAUCGGUAAACUUGCUUGUAAUUUUACUGUGUGGAGCUGAAUACCCAGGAAGAUAACUUUGGUGAAAGGACCUACAGUUUUUUCCCAUGCAAGUGGAACCUUAAGGUAUGAAAAAAGAGCCAUUGUCUUUUGAAUGCUAUUAGGGGUAGCCUGGGGGUCCUCGGUUGUGAGAAAAUCAUCUAAGUAAUGUAUGACUGAAGGGCAAUCACAGAUAUUAAGAAGAAGCCAACGUAGAGUAUUGGCAAACAAGUCAAAUAACGUGGGAAUACUCUUGGCACCAAAUGUCAGAUGAGUGACAAAGUAAUACCUAUCUCACCACAUUAUACCGUGCACAUGCCACAGGGAUGAGUGUAUGGGUAAAAGCUUAAAGGCAUUUGAAAUGUCUGUUUUCCCCAACCAAGCACCAAUGCCUGCCUUCAGUAUGGCAUGAGUGACAUCGUCCACUGUAGCGUAGUGCAAGGAUAACUCUUCAGAGGGAUUAGUGAAUUAAGGCUUGGAGUAGGCAAUUAAUGUGGAGCCAAUAAAUCGAUAAUUAGACCGUUUUUAUUGUUAGAUUUCCCUGUGGCUAUACCUAUAGGGUUGGUACACCAGCACAAGAAAGGUUUAUGUAAGAAAGGGGAUAUAAUUAAUACGUUGUCCAACUCUUUCUUGAGUAAUACGUCACUGUUGAGGGGGUCAAGUAGAGCGGACUAUAGGUUUUGAGACUCGUGGAUACCAGUGAGGAGUAUAGUAGGCCAGUGUGUAAACAGUCUGUGAAACCUUGAACCAAAAAGUCGGGAUGGGUGUGCUUGGAGAUAAUACGCCAAGUUAUCAAUGCAAACUAGUGAUAGGGAGAUUCGGAUCCACUGGGCAUAUGUUAGUGGAAUGGGAGAUAGAUGCACAAAUGGCACAAGACGAUGGUUUGGGACCCACAAAGUGAUGACAGAACAACUUUGUGUCGAGCCUACUCCAGUCGGUAUGAGAAUUGAAUUGCAAGGGUUGCUGCCGCUUUGUCCAAAAAAGACUUGUGGUAGUCGAAGAAAGAAAACCAACCGUACUUGUACCCCGGAUGCACCAACUUAUGCAUAUAGAGAUCCAACUCUUCCCUACGGUGAGGUGGAGCAAAUUACAUCACGAUAUAGUCCAAAUAUGAAGACAAAUUCAGGUAUAGUGAGUUUACAAAUGAGUCUGUGGUCUCUGGCUUUCAGGACAACGGAUAGGUCACCAUGGGAGUAGGAUUUAUUCUCCAACACAUCCUGAGAGGCAAUUGGCAAUGACACUUUGAAACCCAUUGGUCGAAAUGCUUCAGUGUAAUUGUUACAUUUUUUUGUUAUAACCACUUUUAUUAUUUAUUUUUUUUAAAGCUAAUUUUAAGCAUUUUAACUCCAAACCUGCACAUUAUUAUUUUGCUGAUUCUUGAGACCAGCCGUGAUAUCUGCAAAAGCGGAGGAGUGGACUUACAUUUGAAAGGAUAUCUGAGCAUGCUGUUAUAGUCAGAGCCUACUACACGUGGCUCUGAAAAUUGUGAGUUGGAAUUUGACAUCACAAAUAAGAGUGUACCCACCAUACAGUAUUAUGCUAAGCAUAAUUUUUAAUAUUUAGGUGGAGUACAUAUAAUAUGAAGAACCAGUGUGAAUAAGUAUCAAUUUUGUUACUCCUCUGUUAUCACACUUAUUGUAGAGCACCCCCUAUCUCUAUUCUUUCUAAUUAUUGUUUUGUGUUUUUAAAGUGGUUUUCUAACACUGGGGAAGUCAGAGCACCUCACCUCACUUGUAGUAAUGAAACUAAGUUCACGUCUUUGCCUUCCAGGAUGUCCUUGCGAAUAGUGGGGGGAACUAAGUGAGCGGGAGUGACGAUGUGAGCGGAUGUGCUAGGAGUAGAGUUCGAAGAGAUGAGAUUACCCAGAGAUGUAGAGGGAGUGGGGAACCCCGUAGGUGAGCUGGGUGUCAGUGAUUGACGAGAUUCUAGUUUUUAUAGCUGGACGCUAACAGUGUUAAAGGAGGUGAGUAGGGUGGUCAUCAUACUUUUGAUCUCAGUGUAGUUAAAGCUCAACUUUGCGAGCUCCGUCUGUAAAGCUCAACUUUGCGAGCUGUGGCUUGAAAUGGAAUCCCUAAAUGCCUUAAUUCAGCUGCAAGUCUCGGGAUGGUCCAGGGGCGUAGGGAACAAGGGCUAGCUGAGUCUGAAUGAACCCAGCGGUUACGGUCCUGUAAUGGAGGGGGCCUGAGUUUAAAUAGCCAAGUAACCCCUCCCACAAUUACAGGCUAUAUAUAUAUAUAUAUAUAUAUGUAUAUAUAUAUAUAUACUCAGCACACUCACUCAGUAAACACAAACUUUAAAGUUCACAGAAUGUAACAGAUUUUUUUAACCUAAGCAAAAAUAAAACAUAUUUAGUUACAGUAUAUGAUCAUACAUUGCAAAAGCCUGUCACAAUGCCAAUGCACCCCAUUUUUGGCAAGUUCUAUCCUAGCAAUCUAUUUGGUAAAUACUUCCCUGGGACUCUCUCUAUGCAAAAUCUAUUGUAGCCUGUGCAUACACAUGAUUGAGAGAAAAUGGGUUAAGCAGCUAAAAUGGUAAACCACUCAGAUACAGUAAACAGCAGAGCUCAGCAAAUGUUUUAUAAAACAAAUUGUGCUGUGCAACAUUCUGCCCACUGCAGCUUUAUUAAGGCAGCAUUAUCUACAGCAUACUAAGUAGCCUCCCUGCUGCUUAGUUUCAUUCUGAUUAUCUUAAUGGAUAGGAUAUAGGAGGCAGUAUGGUAUCAAACAAGGUUGGGGUGCUUAGCUUGGUAGUAAAACAAAGGGAAUUUAUUGUGCUGAUGCAUAUAAUUGUAUACCUGUUUCGCUUUAUUAAAUUGUGUUGAUUUCCUUAUUCAUCCAGCAUGAAUUUUCUAUAUUAUAGUUAUUUUGCUAUAAAAGUUCUUUCUACUUGUAAUUCUUUCUGGAGGAAUAAAAAUGUCUAACACAAACCUUUAAGUCCACAGAUCCUUUUUUUUAGGUGCCAAAUAAAGAAGGUGACAUUUUGGCCACACACAGCCAUGAGAAAGACUGUGUGUGGCUGAAACUCCAUCUUUUUUUUCUUUGGCACUUCAAUAACGUAUCUGGGGAUUUAAAGGUUUAAGCUGGACAUUUUUAUUUUUUCUAUAUUAUUGUUGGCUGGGGCAGAGACAUGGUCCAUGCAUCCUAAAGUGACCAGUAUCUCCAAUGUUUGUUUUUGCUGUAAUUCUUUCUGAAGCAGGCUAUGCGUUGUCAAACAGUCACUAUGGUAUAAUAAUUAAAAAAAUGUAUUUCGGUCAUAUGGUUAAGAAUGUUUCUAAUGUUGGUCAAGCUUAUCAGUUACUUACAAUAUAUUUUAGAAGGAGACAACAUAUUUAUAGGCAAUAUUCAGCUUUGGGUUGGGCAACCUUAAGUACCCAAAUAGGUUCAGUUAAAGAGAGAUACCGUGUCCCAGAGGAAGUCCAAACAGGUGAAUGAAACAUGUAGGACUUAUUGCUGUUUAUUUUAUUUGAUACAUUGCAUUCCUACUGACUUGGCAGUGGAUUGGUACCUAAACACGUCCGGGUGCAGUCAAGAGGUGUGAGACGUUGCCUGCCAGAAAUACCUGCUAUAUGCUUCAAUAUAUUAUACACUCUUUCUAUAAAGGUUUUAAGGUGUAUUUGGUAUAUUGCGCUAUUGUGGUUGUUUCUUUCAUCCAUAUGUGAAUACUUUGUACUUAAUAUGAACAUAGACUUGAAGAGAUAUGAGCUGGAGAUUUAUUCCAGUUACCAUGGAGAUAGUAACUGGACAAUUUUCUUCGUGGAGGAUUAACCCCAUCGUUGUUGCGUAUGGUAAAUUCUCAUUAAACCCUUGUCUUACUAGUACUGCUGUAUGUUAUCUUUUCUGUUGUAAUUGGAUAAAAAGUUCAGUAAACAAAAAAUCUAAAAAAAAAAGUCUAAUUUAUGACUUGUCAGCACCUCAUAAUUCUUCUAUUUCUAGCCUCAAUUAACUCAUCCAUUCUGAAGAAUUCUCUCUCAAAUAGGUAACUAUAGAUACAGCCAUCCAACAUUAUUAUUAUCAUCGCCAUUUAUAUAGUGUCAACAGAUUCCGUAGCGCUUUACAAUAUUAUGAGAGGGGGGAUUUAACUAUAAAUAGGACAAUUACAAGAAAACUUACAGGAAUGAUAAGUUGAAUAGGACCCUGCUCAAACGAGCUUAUAUUCUAUAGGAGGUGGGGUGUAAAACACAAUAGGACAGGAAAUAGCAAUCAAAUAAGGUGGGAGUGAAACAGAGCUGGAGGAGAGAGUAGAGUGUUGCCCUUUAGGAGAGAGCAAGAGACAGGUAUGUAAGGUAGAGGUUACUCUGGGAGGCCAUAAGCUUUCCUAAAGAGAUGGGUUUUAAGGCACCUCUUAAAUGAUUAUAGACUAGGGGAAACUAGGGGAGUCUGAUGGCAGUAGGCAGGCUAUUCAACAGGAAGAAAGCCACCCGCGAGAAGUCCUGCAGGCGUGAGUUGGCCGUACGGGUGCGAACAAUGGACAGGAGAAGGUCACGGGCAGAGCAGAGAGACCGAGAAGGGACAUACCUAUGGAUCUGUGAGGAGAUAGAAGAGGGGCUAGAAUUGUUCAGUGCUUUAUAGGUGUGAAUUAGUUCCUUGAAUUGAUUAUAGGAUACAGGAAGCCAAUGUAAGGACUGACUGAGGGGUUAGGUGUGAGAGAACUGACUAGAGAGGAAAAUCAGUCUGGCGGCAGCAUUUAUUACAGAUUGUAGCGGUGCAAUACGGCUUUUGGUAAUACCAAUCAGGAGAGGGUUACAAUAAUCCAUGCAGGAAAUUACUAGAGCAUGGACAAGCUCCUUGGUAGCAUCUUGGGUAAGGAAGGGGCAGAUGCGGGCUGUUUUUAAGAUUGAAUCUACAGGAUUUGGCAAUAUACUGGAUGUGAGGCUCAAAGGUGAGGCCAGAAUCAAGUAUGAUGCCAAGACAGUGCGCUUGAAAGGAUGGACUGAUGUGGAUACCACUAACCUGAAGGGAGAGCAAAAGAGGAGGAUCAGUAUAAGGAGAAGGAAAGACAAGGAGCUCAGUUUUAGAGAGAUUGAAUUUCAGAAAGUGGGAGGAAAUCCAGUCAGAGAUGGAAGAAAGGCAAGCAGUGACACGUUGUAGCACAGCAGGACAGAGAUCCCGGGGAGGAGAGAUAUAUCUGGGUGUCAUCAGCGUACAGGUGGUAGUGGAAUACAAAACAGGUAAUAAGUUUGCCAAGAGAGGCAGUAUUCGGUUGUUAGUAACUUUGAUAAGAGCAGUCUCAGUAGAGUGGAGAGGGCGGAAGCCAGAUUGAAGAGGGUCAAGGAGAGAGUUGGAAUUGAGGAAUUGAGACACACAGGUAAUGACAAGUCUUUCCAGAAGCUUUGAGGAAAAAGGGAGCAGGGAUAUAGGGGGGUUAGGCUGAGGUUGUUGAGGUGAAGGGGUACUCAAGAGCAAACAAUAAGAGGUGGUGAUCAGAGAAAGGAUAUGGAGUGGAGUGCAGAUAUUAGAUACUGUACAUGCAUAAGAGAAGAUGAGGUCGAGGGAUUGCCAGCUAUAUGGGUGAGAGAAUUAGCCCACUGCAAUAGCUGAGGGAGGAAGUAAUUGAAAGUAGUUUGGAGGCUGCUGAGGUGAGAGGUGGGUAAAUGGGAAUAUUGAAGUCCCCGAGAAUUAAGGAUAAAAUAUUAGAAGAGAGGAAAUAGGGUAGCCAGGCAGCAAAAUGGUUUUGUUGUCUUUCCCAGUAAAAAAGCUUCCCUAUCUAAAGCAGAUAUUUCGGAAGCUUUUAAACUACUUUGAAUUCAUCCAUCAUUCUGGCAUCUAUAUGGCAUAAAAAGGACAAAUACUGAGGGGGCAGAGCUCGACCCUGGAGCGGCCCAGACAUGUGUUACAUGGGCUCCUGACUCCUUGGCCGAUUUGGGAGUGCUAAUUCCAGCCAAGGACCAAUUCUGCCCACUCAAGAGUGCUCCUUGGGUCGGGGUUUCCCGGAUAAACAAAUAGAGAUAUUACUCGUGACCUUACUUCACCGGGAUCCCAAGCAGUUCUGUAGAGGCCUGUUGUGGUUGGUGUUAGGGAAAGGCGGCCGAUCUCCCUGCUCACAAUUUCUCUUGGACCGGUGGGGAUUAUCCCGGUCCUCUUUGGACUGUUUUGAGCAACGUAUGCUGCACUUACCUCGCUCUGAGUUACCCCCGAAACAUACUCCAGCCAGCUACGACAUUUAAGAUGGCAACUGAUCUUUGUGUUACUGGAGGCCUUGCCUCAUGCGCUUACGUAUUGCUGCGUCUAGAGGGGCACUUUCGGGCCUUAUGGAGAAAACUUCAGGCAUGCUGCAUAUCAUCUCUAUUUCAACCGCAGGGAGGUGGUCGAAGGCGCAAGGUGCAGGAGAGGAGGGAUUCCUCACGAAGCAAAUCAACCUUGAAACUGCCUCAACACACAUGGGCCUGCUGUCCCAGACUGAGGGCUUCCCACACGGCGACCAUGCAAGCCGAAGUUCAUACGCCAAAGGAGGCGCUCACUACCUGGUUCUUUCACCUACUCCUACUGGGGGAAACACUUCCCACCCACAAAUCACCAUCUCUGCAGUUCCUGGAUGCCGGUCCUCAUUCAGAUAUGCCCUGGCGCUACGUUUUUGAUGUUCCGGGGAACUCUCUAGGCAGUGCUCUACAUUUCAUGCCUCAAGGAAUAGGCUAAUGCCAUCUUGUCUUAAAUAAUCUGCAUGCCUUACUAAGGAUCACUAUACCUAUACCUGUUGAAUAUAUUUGCUUCUUUUUAUUUUUGCAUGUAGUGCAGCAAUCUAAUAUAGACCUAAUUACAAUGGUUUUACUCUUUACAAAAUUAUUCUAGCAUGAUAUACCAUACUAUUAUAGUCAUGCUACUUAUCAUUAGCUUAUAUUAUGCCUCAAGUUCUAUGUUCAUGUUUUUAUAUUACCAAAAUUUCCAGUAUAUAAGAAUACCACACAGAUUUUAUACUACAAUGUUUUGCUAUGCUCUUGAUAUCACUGUUGUAGCGAAUAAUACUUGCUUGUUUUUUCUUGCACAUCAAAAAAAAUGAUUUUUUUUUUUAAAAGGACAAAUACUAUUUUGCAACUCAUCUAACAUUGGUUCUACUGUCAGAGGACCUUUGCUAAAUAUUAAUUUUAUCAUCUGACAGGAGGCUUCAUAUUUGCAUUACUCGCUUUACUGAAACUCCCAGCAGCACAGAUCAUAAGAGAACAACCAAUCAAAAAACACUUCAAUGUUAUAGAAAAGGACCUGUCACACACACAACUUCCUCUUUCUUUGCUGCUCCAGCCAUGCACAGGUCAGAGUAGUUUGUCCUUGUGACUGUUUACUGUUACUUGUCUGAUUUAUUCUGUAUUCUGUGUAAUGAUUCAUUGGUAUUUAAGAUUGCUUUAUUAGCUGAUAUAUCUUUCUACAGUUUGAAGAUUGUUUUAUUAGGUAAACUGAUUUAUAGGUUGUAUUCUCUCAUGUGUGUUAUUCCACUGUAAACAAAGGUUGCUAUAUUUGUAUUAUAUGGGUAUUUACCCUGCUAUUCUUGUUAGCUUCCCCCCCACCGUUCUUCUAAUACUUGUUUCCCCUUUUUACUUGCUUUUCACAACCCUCUUUGAUGCCUGCUCCCUCUCUCCCUUCUCUCCUGGAGCCUGGGACUGCCCUGGUCCCUUGCCCCUCGCGCGGUCGCCGCGAUCGCGCUCUUUUCAGCCUGUUUAUACUUAUUUGGAGAUAGCUAAGGGAGUGUGUGGGUGGUGGGGGUGCUCAGCGCGAUUCUUCCUUGACCAUCGGGCCGGCAAAACCGUGGAUUGCGCCAAUCGUUGCGUGUGCAGCGGUCAUCUUGAAUCUCGCGAGUGCCGCGAGAUUCACGUCGGCCAUUUCUUUUUUUCCUUCCAGAUUGGUAUUACUGCGAUCUGGACUAAAUAUACUUACCUUCAAGCUGUAUCUGAGUCUCCACACUCACCACUGGAGACUGCAGUGUUGAUUUCUCAGCCACAGUUAAGGUACCUACUACAAGUGAUUACACAUACAUGCUGGGCUGAUACAUGCUGUUUGCUGACAACAGAAUGACAUACACUGCGGUGUGAUUGCUAUGUGGGAAUUUAUUGAGCUUCACAGCCAUAUACACUGUGCCAUCCCACUGGAGACUGCAGUGCUGAGUCUCAUCCUCGGUUAAGGUACCUACUACAAGUUAUUCAAUAUGUGCUGGGCUGUUACAUGCUGUUUGCUGACACAACAGAAAUUGACAUACACUGAGGUGUAAAAGCUAUGUGGGACCAUGCUGGAUUUAACAGCCAUAUACAAGGUGCCUUUUUGGUUACAUUAGUUGCCAUAUGUGGCUGUCCUCUGGUUCUCAUGACACACCACCUGGGGUGAGCUCCCAGAUAUCCUCAUAGGUGUUCUGCACAUUACCUAUAGGGAUCUCCCACAUCCUUUAUGUUGUCUGGAAAUACAUUAUCACACCAUGCAGAACUAUCACACAUGCUGUGUACACCUGUUUUAUUGCUGACCACGGAGGUACAGCUUUGACGUGUAACUAGGGUGAACCCCUCGAAGAUACGUCACCUUGGCAACAAUUACAAGGUUAACCCCUCAAUAAUACUCCGGAUGGGGAAUUAGGCUGGGGAUCAACCCCAUGAUUCUGAGACUACCACGUCUCCCAUUCACUUAAGGGAAACCCCCCUUUCGUACACAUAGAGGGUGUAGACGUCUAUACCGUGAAGCCCAUCCCUGGGUGAGCCCCAGUUGUACUAAGAGACUGGCACCUUCCGUGCGUCUCCAUUUAUCUUGCUCCCACUGAUUGUCGCUGUCCUCUUAUAGGCAGACCAACCAUCAUGAACAACACCCCUCCACCAACGCAGAACUUUCAGGCCAUGAUUAUCGCAGCGUCAGUUGAAAAGGCCCUACUACGGGUCCUGCCCCAACCUCAGCAAACAGGGCCACAAGACUCUGAUGCCGCCCCAGGUUCUGACACUCCACUGAGCCAGACCGGGCCCGAACGUCACAUGAAGGGUUCCAGGUCCCCGAAAGGGAGUAAGUCUAGGGGCAAAGCUCAGUUAAAAUUAAAUGGGGGUACCAAUGUUCGAUCCACGCACUAUACGAUACCCCAAGUCGUCGGUAUGGACAAUGCCAGAUCAUCUGGCCCAAUUCAGCCAUUAUUGGCUCCACAGGCCACUGGACAAGGAAGUGCAGGCACGCAUAUGAACAGAAUGCCCCCGCCCCCUCCUCCUCCCAGACAAGGUGGCUAUCACUCCAGUAUUUGACACCACGGUAGUGGUUUUCAUGUCCCGGGCUGGCAGAGACCCCAGGAAGGACAUCGAUAAAGGGGCUAAAGUCGGCACAAAACAAGCCAUUGGAUCUACUAGGCCCAUAGGCUACAAUCCUAUUCUUUGUGGAUUUGGCCCUCCCAUAGGGCAUGCAGUUGGACCCAAGUGACUUCCGUGAAUGGGCCCAGCGCUCUAUCUGCAUGCUGGGUAACGCCAAUGUGACCCUCUGUACAGUAAGACGCAAGACAGCACUGUUGAGGAAGGACUCAAAACUCUUGGAAUUGGGCUCCAAAGAACUGGGACCGUUGGCAAAGUGACUCAUAUUCUGUAAACCUUUUAUAGCAGAGUUUAAGCGACAACCUCUUCAUGGCGCUGACCAAAGCCCAACCUUCACUCAAGCACGGCUGCAGACCACCACCCAGCAGGGGUGUCUUUGAUGUUCCGGGGAACUCUCUAGGCAGUGCUCUACAUUUCAUGCCUCAAGGAAUAGGCUAAUGCCAUCUUGUCUUAAAUAAUCUGCAUGCCUUACUAAGGAUCACUAUACCUAUACCUGUUGAAUAUAUUUGCUUCUUUUUAUUUUUGCAUGUAGUGCAGCAAUCUAAUAUAGACCUAAUUACAAUACGAUUUUGGUCCACUGGACCCAGAUCCUAUUCACAAUCACCCUUCUUCCAUCCUACAGAACUGAUUUGAGAUCACGGCAGACACUUGGAUCCUGCAGACAGUUCAAGGCUAUGCCAUCAGGUUCCACUCCCAACCCAUACAAACUGCCCAACCACCUCCAUUGCAUGUUGCAAGAGAACGCUGACUCCUCAUAGACAAAGAGAUUUGCUCUAUAUUCGCCAAAGGCACGGUACAAUUCUUCCCGGAUGAUUGGGGCUUCUAUGGCAACAUCUUCCUGGUCCGAAAAAAGUCAGGAGACUUUCGGCCAGUCAUCAACCUCCACCAGCUCAACGACUGUGUCGUCUAUCAACAUUUUAUAGUGGAAGGUAUAUAUCUACUCCGGGAUCUUCUGCUGGUAAUUGAUUGGCUCACCCGUCUCGAUCUCAAGGACGCGUAUCGUUCGGUACCCGUGGCAUCUACGAGUCAUUGCUUUCUAAGGUUUGUAUGGGGUCUUCGGUCUUGUCAAUUUAUGUGCCUGCCUUUCGGCCUCAGUUCAGCUCGUGGUGCUUCACAAAGCUAUUGAAGCUGGUCAUAGCCCAUUUCCAAUCCAGGCAUCCAUUGCCUUUUCUACCUGGACGACCUCCUGAUCUUCUGUGACGCAGAAUCCAGACUGCGCUCACAGACGUACUUUGUUGUUCACUUUCUGGAGUCUUUGGGCUUUGUGGUGACCAGACAAAAGUCACCCCAUUCCCAUUCACUGGUCAUGCAGUCCCUCGGUUUCAAGAUAGACUCGAGGGAUUGUGUCCUCCAACUACUUGCCACGAAGAUUGCAUCCAUCCAAAAGGAGAUUCAACGGAUUCUACGCACGAAUAUGGUGCCCCUGCGACUCCUCGCCAGGAUAAUGGGCCUUAUGCCUCCUCGACCCAGGCAAUAUUUCUGGGGCCUCUGCACUACGGAGCUCUGCUAUGACUGAAGGCAAAACAUUUGCGUCUGGGUCACUCAUACGACCAUUGGAUACCCCUAUCGGGAGAGGUGCAGACAGAACUUCGUUGGUGGCUACUCCACAUGCAAGCCUAGAACGGCCAUCAUGUGGAAUCCUGCUCCGCAUGGACAACUUUUCGGCGGUCCAAUACUUCAACCGCCUGGGCGGAGCCAGAUUGGCUCCUAGAUGUCUCUACUUUCCACACAUUGAUGGACCUCAGGGGUCCACUAAACAUGGACCUGUUUGCAUCCAGAACGAACCAGCAACUCCCGAGGUUCUUCAACUGGCUGCCGGAUCCAUAUUGCAAAGCAGUGGACGUUUUCCUCUAAAUUUGGCCGGACGAGGGAGCCUAUGCCUUCCCGUCGUUCACGUUCCUCCUUAUCACUCCCCUCGGGCAGAGUCAAGUGUGUCUCCUGGACUUUCUGGAACUGUCUCAUACAGGAUUCAUGUUGUCUAGGCCUCCUGCACCUAAAUAUCCUCGUUUCUGGGACGUAGAUUUAGGGCUGCGUUUUUCUUCAAGGCAGACCAGAUAAUUCGGGCUUAUCACUGAGUCACCUUUCCACCUUUUCCAGUUACUAUGCUGUUGUGCCUCAUCUCCUUCUGACUUGUUUUGGAUGUUUGGAUCCUUUUCCCUGGAUGGCGUUUCCUUUGUUUUACACGUGGGACAGGAUCGGAUUCUUCCUCCGUUUCGUAUCCAUUUUUUCUAGCAAUCCCUGACUGUGCAUUAUGGACACGCUUUUGCGGUAUAUCAAGGUUACGGCGCCCUUACAGACUGCCCCUUGGAACCAACUUUUGGUGUCAUAGGUUAAACCCCAUAACCCUGUCUCGACUACGACGCUGGCCAGCUGGAUCCGCUUGCUUUUGUCUUUGGCUGGAAUAGAUUCCAGCUUCGGUGCACUCUCUGAACGCAGAGCAGCCGCGUCACGAGCGUUCAUAGCGGGCGCGUCAUUAGCCAAUAUCAUGCGAUGCGUGGACUGGUCACAGGGAAUCUAUGCUCUGUGUGUUUUAUUUCAGACAGUCCUCUCACGCUUAUUUAACUUUUCUAAAUUCUCAGAGUUAAAACUGCAAAUAUGAAGCCUCCUGUCGUGAUAAAAUUGUAAAUUAUGUUAACGUAGUGUACCAAUUAUCUUAAUUUUAGUAAUGACAGGAGGCGAAUAUUUCCCAACCUAUUGUCUCUUCCCAUCCUGGAAUUUCUAUAUUUCGAUAUUUCUGUCAUUUUUUUUUUCUAUGAUAUUAGGAUCAUAUAUGGUGUUAUUAUAUGUAUUGUAUGGUAUUAUCGUCUUCAAGUAGCUAGAUAGAUUGGUAUAGUCGUUUCUACUGGCUAGGCAUGACUGUUAUAUCUAAUAUACAUCUAAUUUAAGUAGUAGAUCGACAGUUAUAGUAUGUUAGCUUAAAAGUACACUACAUUAGCAUAAUCUACAAUUAAUUAUUUUAGGUGUUUUAUCGAUGUUUUACACUAUCUUGAUGAUUUCUUGUUUAUUGAUCCAACCAACUCAGUCAGUCACAUAUUCUCUUUCUUUUUAACACACUAAAUAUUCUGGUGGCAACACACAAGACACAAGGGCCUUGCACAUCACUAUGUUUUCUGGGCAUUAAUCUGGACACUCUGGCAAUGCAGGCUAGACUUCCACAAUAAAAAAGUUGGCAGUUAUUCUCAAAUUCACUCAAAGCAAGACAUGUACCUGUAGUCGUGUACCAGGGGCUUCGUAAAAGGAGUGCAACAGCCCUCCCUCCAAUGUGCUCCAGUUCAUGAUCCCCAUCCAAAUUCCUUCCUUUAAUGGUCUUAUAUAUUAUCCAACCUGGUUGGCCAUCUUUAGGCCUACCUUAACUGGCAAUCUUGGCACACCUCAGACCAUACACUAUACACUUUACAUUUCAGGCCAAGCCUACAAAUACUUUUAUUUUUAAAAGUGGACUGUUUUAAACACCCUCAAUGUCACCUUGAACAAAUGAGGCAUGUGUGCUGAAUAAAAUGCUAGUGUUAUAUAAAUAUGUAGAGCCAUAAUCAUUGCUGGGCAUACUUAAUUUCGUAAUAAGCUUCAUUCCACAAGGUAGAUCAUUUAUUUUACGUAUCAUGGUAUUGCUUUCCAUGGGGUCUGACUCAAGUAGUGUCAUUCAGUUAGACCAAGUAGCAUGGGCAGAUCUGCAAAGGUGGCAGGGAUUUUUUGAUUAAUUGGAAAAGUAUCUCUAGGUUCAUUCCUAAACCUUCCGAAUCAUCUCCUAGAGUUGCGGUGACAUUUUGGUGAUCAAUGGUUGGUUGAUUUUCUUUGGCAAAGAGAUCUUUGUGGAGAUGGACAAUGGUGGUCUUGUGAGAUGUCUUCCUGGAGCUACUGCUCACAGAGAUAGGAGACGUAUUUGUAAUAUUGUUAAGUGAGCAAAGCAGGAAGGGGACUUGGAUGUACUUGUCCAUCUAGGAACAAAUGACUUGGCUUGUAAUGAGGUUUCAGAGGUAAAGGAAGUUUUUAGUGUUUUUGCCAAUGAUAUACGGCAGGUUGCUUCCACACUGUCAUUCUCUGAAGUUCUGCCUGUGCAUAACACUCAGAACAACAGGCGUAUGCAUAUUAGGGACUUUAACUUGUGGCUUGGUGAAUGGUGUCAGGAGCAAGGAUUUGGCUUUAUUUCUCAUGGUAGCUCUGUUUGGAAUGGAAAUAAACUGUACAAAAGAUGGUUUGCAUCUUUCUCAAAAGGGAACAAAUGUUCUCAGUGAGCAGUUCAGAGGUUUUGCUAGGAUCACUGGCGUACAUACCACGGUCGCAGGGGUCGCGGCUGCGACCGGUCCUGGCCCACAAGGGGGCCCGCCCGCCCUGUGACCCGGUAUGUACGCCAGUGUGGCCAGCUUCUUCUCCUGGGGGGCCCAGGAGUUGGCAACCUCAGAGUUGGCUGGUCCUGGUGCUCUCUGCCCAGCUCCCUCGCGCACCGCACUGAUGCCAGAGUUGGAAUAUGAUGUCACUUCGGCUCCGGCAUCAGUAUGUGGCGCGUGAAGGAGGUGGGCAGAGAGCUCUCAGGGGAGAGUGCUUCCUCGCGCGCCCGCCAGCCAGCCAACCCGGUGACCGGCCGCCCAGCAGCACUACGGGACCCCAGGGAAUCCCCUAAGCUCUCCCAAGGGUAAGGAGGCUGGGGGGGUUAAAUUUUAACCCCUUAAGGACCAAACGUCUGGAAUAAAAGGGAAUCAUGACAUAUCACACAUGUCAUGUGUACUUAGGGGUUAAAGAAACGUGUGUGUGUGUUAGUGUUAGAGUGUGUGUGUUAGUGUUAGUUUUUGUGUGUCAGUGUGUGUGUUACUGUGUGUCUGCUAGUGAGUGUCAGUGUGUGUUAGUUUUUGUGUGUGUUAGUUUGUGUGUGUCUGCUAUUGAGUGUCAGUGUGUGUUAGUUUGUGUGUCAGUGAGAGUGUAUGUUUUGUAAGUGAGUGUGUAUGUGUGUCGGUCUGUCAUUGAGUGUGUGUGUAUGUAUGUCUGUAACCGAGUAUGUCUCUGUCAGUAAAUGUGUGUGUCUGUUAGCCAUUGAGCUGAAGUGAUCUAGGUGUCUAUAGUGGUCCUUUAAGUGUAUGUGUAUCUGCGUACAUACCGCGGUCGCAGGGGCCACAGACCUGCGACCCCUGCGACCAGGUGCCCACCGCCGUGCGCCUCUGCGCGUGGGGGGGAGGCCACGGAUCAAUUUUCGCACCGGGGCCCCAUGGGUCAUGUGUACACUACUGGCAAGGAUUUAUUUAAACAAGAUGGGGGGGCAAAAGGGUGAUAAAAAAAUCAAUCCAAUUGCCCCCCAAAACAAGGACAGAAUGUGCCUGUAGCAAGUGUGUUAAAAAAUGAUAAGCUUAGAGUCAUGUCUUCAAAUGCUCGCAGUUUAGGGAAUAAGAUCCAUGAACUUGUGGCAAUAAUGGCAACUGAUAAUGUAGAUUUAGUCGCUGUUACUGAGACAUGGUAUAAUGAAAAAAUUGACUGGGACAUAGCAAUACCAGGGUACUCUUUAUAUAGAAAAAACAGGGAAGGCAAGAAAGGGGGAAGGGUUGCCCUGUAUGUGAAAGAUAGUGAAAGUUAGUGAAGUUAACAUAGAGUCCGUUUGGGUUACGUUAGAAUUUGGUAAUCACACAGUAACUCGUGUAGGUGUGAUUUAUAGGCCCCCAGGACAAAUUGAAGAGUUAGAUAAUCUACUAGUUGAGAAAAUAGCUAAAAUGACAAUGAAGGGGGAAGUUAUCAUAAUGGGUGACUUUAAUCUUCCUGAUGUGAAUUGGAAAACCAAAAUAGCUGCCUGUGCCAGGAGCACACACAUUCUAAACUCCAUACUGGGAUUGUCUCUAAAGCAAGUCGUUGAGGAGCCAACUCGUAAGGAGGCCAGGAAAUGCUAGCAGAAUGCUUGGUUGUAUAGUGAGAGGUAUUAGCAGGAGAAAGAGUGUCUGUAUGCAUGUAUGUGUGUGUCUGUAUGUAUGUGUGCCUGUCUGUAUGUAUGUGUCUUGUGUGUGCCUGUCUGUAUGUGUGUACCUGUAUGUAUGUAUGUGUGCCUGUCUAUUAUAGUGGGCUAUAGUAAGUAAUAGUAAGUGGGAUACCUAGCUCAGCCUUCCUACUAGGCAUUGCUAUAAGGAAGGAUAAAAAAAAAAAUUUUAAAAGGGAAAAAAAAAGGUAGGGAGGGGAAUUGAGGAGGGAGAGGAGGGGAGCUGACGCACAGAUGAGAAAUCAUAUUAUGCGCAAACAGAGAAGUCAUCUGAAGUCUAAGAAGUCUAAGUUAAAAACAUUAUAAACAUGCAUUAAUUAGAAAUAAAAAGAUAAAUGUACGUACAUUUAUUUAUUUUUAAAAUACACUCCUUUCUAAAAAAUAUUCUGCACUUGCGCGAAACCUGGUGGGCGGGAAGGAGAUUUUUUAAACCAAAGAGAUGCAUUUGUGGGCGGUAGGUAGAAAAAGGUUGACUACCACUGCUUUAGAGAGAGUUUAGAGAAGGGCUACUAAGCUGGUUCAUGGAUUGCAAGAUAAAACUUACAAGGAAAGGUUAAAGGAUGUUAACAUGUUAAGCUUGGGGGAAAGAUGAGACAGGUGGAUAUGAUAGAAACAUUUAAGUACAUAAAGGAAAUCAACACAGUAAAGGAGGAGAUUAUAUUUAAAAGAAGGACAUAAUCUUAAAUUUUUUAAAGGUUUAAAAAUAAUAUCAGGAAGUAUUAAUUUACUGAGAGGGUAGUGGAUGCAUGGAAUAGCCUUCCAGCUGAAGUAGUAGAGGUUAACACAGUGAAGGAGUUUAAGCAUGCGUGGGAUAGGCAUAAGGCUAUCCUAACUAUAAGAUAAGGCCAGGGACUAAUGAGAGUAAUUAGAAAAUAGGGCAGAUUCGAUGGGCCGAAUGGUUCUUAUCUGCUGUCACAUUCUAUGUUUCUCGGAUCACCCCCUUUAUGUCUGCUACCUCUCAGGAUUCAGGCCUCAUUCUCCACUACCUGCUUGCCCACUCCAGCUACUCAUGUGCCUCAUUUCAUGUCUACAAUCAGACCUUGUCUGUGCAAUCCUCAAUCUCUCACCCUGACAAUCAACUUAUCCAUUAUAUUGUUACUCUGGACUCUACUUUCAAGUCUCCACUUACAGUAAAUCUUCAUCAUUACCUAUUGUUAUUUACUCGCUCCAAAGACUCUGCUCAUUCUCAAACUUUACAACAAUAUCCUCUCAACUAUGUUGCUCUGUAUCCUGUCAUUCUGCUAAAGCUUGCAGUUGUCCAAAUCUCUCUGCUGCCCCUACUGGGCAACCUGAGCAGUGAAUACCUACUCAGAACCUGCAGGCUGUUUAAGAUACCUCCUACCAUAUUGCUCCUAGUGGCUUACAUACCACGGUCGCAGGGGUCGUAGCUGCGACCGGGCCCGUCACUCCAGGGGGCCUGGCCGCCCUACAGACCCCUGCAACCAGGUGCCCACCUCUAUGUGUUGCGGCCCCGGCCGCACUGGAUAAUUGCUGGGGCCGCAUGUGAAGGGGCCCAUCGGGUGGCCCAUGCUGUUAGGGCCACCCGAUGGAAAUUAAUUUCAGUAUCAGAGUGGGCCCGGUAACAGCACAGCUGGACCCCCUCUGAUGAUUUUAGAUGCUGGGAGGAAGUGACUGCCCGGUCACUCCUCACAGCAACCACGAGGAGCUGCGCAGGAGGAAGGAGAGGGAGUCAGAGUGGGAACUCUGACUCCCAUCAUCCUGAGCCACUGGACCCCAGGUAAGUCACCCUCCUGCACCUAAAAGGUAGGUAAUAGGAGGGUGACUUAAAUAUUUUGCGUGUGUGUAUCUAUGUAUGUGUGUCUGUGUCUAUGUAUAUGUCUGUCUGUAUGUAUCUGUGUGUAUGUGUGUGUGUAUGUGUGUCUGUAUGUAUAUGUCUGUGAGUGUGUCUGCAUGUAUGUGUAUCUGUGUGUGUGUGUGUGUGUGUGUGUGUGUGUGUGUAUCUCUGUGUGCGUCUGUAUGGGGUGGCAGUGAGGGGUGGCGUGUUUUGCACCGGGGCCCCAUGGAUUUUGUCCACUGUUUGCACCCUAUAGAUCUACUGGUUAAGUCUACUUAAUUGUUGCCAAUCAACUCUUAUCCUACUUAAGGAGUUCUACAUAAUAGUAUAUUCACUCAAUUGUCAUAGGAUGUUAUUACUGUUGAAAGGUAUUUGCAAUAUGUGUUUCAAUAAUCAUUGUUAUUACAAAGUUAACUGUAUUGUGUUGCUCAAGUGUCACAGUCUAUGCCAAAAGUGAUAGAGUGCUAUCAUUUGCUGUUAAAACAUUUGUCUCCUCCAAUUAUUACACAAUAGUACAUCACUACUACGAUUUGUAACACCUUAAAAGAGACUUUCUGAAGUCUAAAUUACUGAAGAUGUCAUGCAUUUUAUCUAUCUAUUUAAAUAGCUAAACUGAACAUGGGAAGACGACUGAGUUCCAACAGAGCUCAUAAUGAGAUACCACCAAUACAAAUGACCAAAUUCAAUAUUCUUAGAGUUGGAGAUAGAAUUUAAAUUAAAAUUUCCAGUUUUUAGUUAAACCUAUUGGAGUUCAUGGUAAAUCUGUUAAAUUCAUGUUCCUACAGUCUUCACUUUCGCCUUGUUGUUCUCUGUUUCACACUGCACUUGCAUUGUCUAAGCUACUCAAGGGUCCUCCUACAAUGAAUUAUCGUAGGGAUUGACAAAAGCUUGCCAUUAUGAUGACCUCCAUAAAGAUAGUAGGAUCUCAAAAAUAGGGAAGCCACAUGGAAGAAAAAAGCCCACACCAAUUAAUUCUUUUCGAUCUUUUCAGUCCUUUAUAAUAAGAAUACCUGGUAAGUCUAAAUAGAUACCGAUAUACCUGUUUCACUGGGAGGGGCACAUUAAAAGAGAAACACACACUAGUAAUUAUUUGUAUAAUAGUCAGAUUCCAUUAUCUUCUGGACAUAGCAUUACUGUUAUGAAUAGAAAGUCUAUUGAACACAUUCUUACAGAGAGAACAAUUUGGAAACACCAUAUUUGUUAAAAAAAUAAAACAUAAAAAUACAAAAAGAUAUACAAAGAUAUAUCAUAAAAAGAUAUUCAAACAUAUAAAGGAAAGGUAAGUUUAUCUGAAUACAGAGAUAAAGAUUUUUCCACAAAUAUACACUGAUCAGCCACAACAUUAAAACCACUGACAGAUGAAGUGAAUAACAUAAUAAUAAUAAUAAUAAUAAUAAUAAUAAUAAAGUAUUUAACCAGGAAAGGUACAUUCAGAUUACUCUGGUUUUCAAGUACGUCCUGGGGAUGUUGAUCAUAUUGUUACAAUGGCACCUGUCAUGGGGUGGAAUAUAUUAGACAGCAAGUGAACAGUUAGUUGUUGAAUUUCAUGUGUUAGAAGUAUGAAAAAUGGGUAAGUGAAAAAGAUCUGCAUGACUUUGAAUAGGGCCAAAUAGUGAUGGCUAGGUGAGCAUUUCCAGAACGGCAAGUUUUGUGGGGUGUUUCUGGUAUGCGGGGGUUACCAUAAGUGGUGCAAAAAAGGACAACCAGUGAACUGGCAUCAGGGUCAUGGGAUCCCAAGGCUUUAUUUUCUGUCAAUUUCUGUUUUAAUAAGGCAAUAGAGAAUAUGGUACAGAAUAAAGAAAAGGGAGUUUUAAACAAGGAACAUAAGGCAUAUGUGCAAUGUAAAUACAGUAUCAUUGAAACUCAAGUGUAAGAUUGCCUCAUUUAUUUAUUUUGUAAGAGCUAAGUGGGUUGAUGUGAUCAGGGUAGCAAUGGGUAAGUCCCAUAGCGAUUUUGUUGUCCCAAGUGAGGAACUAAUCCUUAGCCUAUUCCCAGGGUGAGAAAGUGCAGAUCACAUGUGCAAAGGGUUUGCAAGGCAGCAAUACCAGGAGUGUGGUGCAGGGCAGCAUUUUCGUGCCACAGACUUGGGUGCUGCUGGAGACCAAGUCCCUUCCCACGGGGGAAGAACAGAAGGCCUUGAUGGUGCAUAUUCGCUGGUAGCGGGUGGUCUUCCGUCUACUUGAAUGAUGCAAUGGGGUCUUGUCCCUGAUGGACCUUGGCCCAGGCUGGCCAGUAGUGGAGGAUAUCAUCUUUGACUGAGGUAAGUGCCCGACGGGGAUCCAAUCACCCCUCGGCUCCUGCUCUCACAUUCCCCUUUUUGAGGUUGUGGUGGUAAGGCUGUUUGCUGUUUUGCUAGAGAGGCUCAAAAACGGUCAAAGAUUUAAUUAAGCCACCUCACGGUUUGUGUCACCAGGUCAGAAAAAGCAAGCCUGGGCAACACUUGCUUGAGGCCACGUGAAGGAUUUAUCUUACGGAAUUGAGCUGCGCCGGGGUACCUGCGGUACGGCUACAGGGAUCAAGGCUAUUGUGUGCUGCAAGCCAGUGGGGACCUGUUAGGGACCAGGAACCAGACAGAAACAGAACUAGAUGAUAAAAUAGAAAAUAAACUAAUAUCCAAAAGCAAAGUGCAGGAGGCAAGCAGGGGUCAGGCACCAAAGCGGGUAGUCAGACGAGCCAGGAUCAGGGGAAUGGAGAGCAGCGAAGUCAGAAACAAGGCCAGAGUCAGGAACCAGGAACAAACAGGAACUCACAGGAACAAGGAGACUUCUGGGGAACAGGAAACCACACAAGGGCAAGGAGGUACUGGGAUUUGCUGCUUAAAUAGGCUGCCUACUAUUAGGUGAGUAACCGUGGCAACAUACUGAAGGAGCUGAUCGUUAAUCUCUGCUCAAAACUCAGACACAGAAAAAGGAAGGGUUGCUGUUUAAAACAGCAAAGAAACCCUGACAGCACCGAGAUUAAGCUUGGAGCUCACAGCAAGAACAUCCAGCCGCCAUAAAGCUUUGGCCCCAAACCCCUCAAAGCCAAUUGAUGACAUUUUCUAUUCCAUUUCAGUGAUAUAGGAUUUGAUUAAUGUCCCAUUAAUGUAUAACUUUAUGGAACUUACCAUCAUUGCAUGAUUCUUCAUAGUCCUCCAAUAGUGGCCAAGUCCAUAAGAGCAGCAGUCACAUUUAUUUACAUAAACAUUUGGAGACUCAUAUUUUAGGCUUAUUGAAUACCACGAAAGAACUAUCUGACAAUGAGUCAUGAAUUACUAAAUUCAUUAAAAAAAUAUGAAUGAUAUUAGAAGUCACUCUGUAGCUUUUAUUAGCUUUCUAAAGUAGACAUGGAGAGAUUCACGGGGGUCAGAAAUACUUACUUGUACCUGUUGCGGAACCACGACGGCUCUUCACGGGCUUAAAAACCAGCCAAUCACAGUGCAUCAUUGUAGGUAUCUAUCUCCCGAGUGACUUCCCAGGGGCAUUGGCUCUGACAUCCACAUUAUAGGUCCCCCACUGGGACUAUGAGCUCUUUGAGAACCAACUAUGCCAACUGCAUAAUAAACAAGUAGCUUAAAAUUAUCAAACGGAGUCUAAACACUAGAGUGAUUUGGUUACUGAGAAGCUGACAUGAUAUGUAUAUUUUUUGACAACUAAAGUAUUUGGAAGGUCAACUGUCAACUCAACAAUUUGACAGGAUUUAUUCUAAACAAACAAAAAAAAAUGUAAUGUAUUAUGAUCUUUAGAACUUAAUUAUGAUGUGACUCAUCCUCUUCCCAUGUGGACAGCAUGAAAUAAUCUUGUGGGAAUGGUGUCAUAGUUGAUCCCUGGAGCAUUCUAAUUUUUAUUUUCCCCCUCACCCUCAGUGAAAGCCCUCAUUUGCACAAGUAGGUGCCAUACGCAGGCUCUCAUUAUAAAAACAAGGGUCACUAGAAGCCAGAUGGAACUAAAGGUUGGACAGCUGAAAUAACAAUGUAGUAUUUACAUUUCUACACAGGUGAUCCUGAGGAGGAAGCAGUAAAUCCAGGAACCCACAUGCUGAGGCUGAAGGUGGAGAUUGAAGAUACAGCAAAAGAAUGUUAGGCAGAAGGACAACUAAGUUGGAAUCAUCAGUGCAUUCACAAGGAACCGUUCUCAAAAAACCUCAGAGACUACUUUAAUGAUCAUUGAACUUCCUAUUACAAAUCUUUAUGUUCUUGUUUGGUAUUCAAGGCAUCCUUUACCCUUUAACCCCACAGUGAUCUUUUAAUCCAUUCAGGGCAUGAAUUUUGUCUCCUGCACUGCAAGUGUUAAAUUAACCUCCAUAUGUAUCAAAUUGUUAAAGCCACAAGAGUAGCAAGAGGGGAAACACAAGCCUAUAAAAAUGUGGAACAAGAGUGGCAUAUUAGACUGAUGAGCUCUCAUGUUAAAAUUUAGACCACAAAGAUAAAGAAAUGAAGAUAAAUGAAGCAAUAACAUAUAUCCAUACAGCAUUCUCAAAGACACCAGAAAAGCAUAUUUUUCCAUCAAGGUGAUCAUUUAUUGCAUAAGGACAUGGCAGUGUACAGACC